CCACCAUACCGACAGAUUUCAACAACAUCAUGACGUCAUCGCACCAAAACCACCCUACGCGUCUACGACCAGACUCUUGUUCGAAAAUCAAACUUCCGACGGAAAGAAAAAUCUUAGUUUCUCGACGCACGUCUCCGACUAAUGUCGCGAUAUCAUACUACGCAGAACUCGGAUCAAGGUCAUCCGGAAUUAAAAAAAAAAAAAGAAACUUUUCGUACCCAUCGACCGCUUCAUCAAUAUACGUAUCGCUGUCGGCCAAUACCACGGUAACAUAAACACGUCCAACUUAAAUCAGGAAGCAAUAGCGGAUGAAAAUGAACAGAAAACAGAAUUUCAAAACACAUGGUAUCUCAGUACUUAUAAUGUUGUAUACAUACGUGAACUCGAUAUAAACAUAUUCCAAAAUAAAUCACCUAUUGUAUUUUCAAAUGCACAAUAGACCUGCCGAUUUUUUACGGUUAGAGAAACGUACAGAGCCAAGACAUGAUAGAAAUUCAAUAUGCACAUAAAAGAGAAAAUGCAAUUAAAAAGCAAAUCAAAUUCAAAACUACUCCACUCAAUGAAGUUGAAGAUAUAAUAAAAUACAUUUUAGCUCAAUCUCCAUUUAACUUGAAAAGACAACUUAAAAAAAACACUG
rnacentral:lncRNA from 1 species